UGGGGAAUAUUGGACAAUGGGCGAAAGCCUGAUCCAGCCAUGCCGCGUGAGUGAUGAAGGCCUUAGGGUUGUAAAGCUCUUUUAGCAGGGAAGAUAAUGACGGUACCUGCAGAAAAAGCCCCGGCUAACUUCGUGCCAGCAGCCGCGGUAAUACGAAGGGGGCUAGCGUUGCUCGGAAUUACUGGGCGUAAAGCGCACGUAGGCGGACUCUUAAGUCGGUGGUGAAAUCCUGGAGCUCAACUCCAGAACUGCCUUCGAUACUGGGAGUCUUGAGUUCGGGAAAGGUGAGUGGAACUGCGAGUGUAGAGGUGAAAUUCGUAGAUAUUCGCAAGAACACCAGUGGCGAAGGCGGCUCACUGGCCCGAUACUGACGCUGAGGUGCGAAAGCGUGGGGAGCAAACA
rnacentral:rRNA from 1 species